UUAACUUAAAAACCCAGAAGCCGGGCUUGUAAGCCCGUGCCAAACACCCCCGUAGGUUGUCGAUUUUACUGUUUUACUUUACUGCUUAGAUUGUGUUCAACACGACUUGAGACUGUUUGUUUGGAAGUUUUGCGUUCUGCUCUUUUUUUAGGGGAUGAAGAGUUGACAUUUGCUUUUGUAUAUUUUGGCCAGUCUUCACCUUUGGCAAAGCCGAGGGGAUGAUUCGCCUUCUCCAUGAAGAAUAACUGGGCUACAUCGAUCAUCUAGCAGCACGACAACGAGAGGGAGCAGGUUGAUUCUGAAAACGUUUUUAGACUAUCUAAAUUAAAUAGUACCUCCUUGCUGAAGCGAAACUUGUUGCAGUGUCACAUCAGUCCAUGUCCUUGCCUCAUCGCACACAUGAAGGAUCAACCAUUUAUCUGGCUUCAAGUAAUUCUUAAGGGCGUUUCUACACAGAGAUUAAAGAUUGUUUCAGCUCAAGUGUAAACUAUGACACCCUCCUUGUUUACUCAACAGUCACCUGCCUGGGUUUUCCUCGUA
rnacentral:lncRNA from 1 species